CGGAGACUCACUGAAAUCCUGACCCCCUGCAAACACAAGCAGGGCAGAUGCUUCAGGAGAUGGAAGCAGGUCUCAGUGAGCAGCCCGAGCUUUUUGCCUGCGGUGGUGGAGAUUAAUUGGCUUCUGCUGGCUGGCUGCACCAUCUAUGGGAAGCCUGGAUGCUGUCAUCGUAACAGUCAUAAUUCAGGUACACUUCCUCCUCUGUCUUAAAAAUGU
rnacentral:lncRNA from 1 species